UGGGGAAUAUUGCACAAUGGGGGAAACCCUGAUGCAGCGACGCCGCGUGAGUGAAGAAGUAUUUCGGUAUGUAAAGCUCUAUCAGCAGGGAAGAAAUUGACGGUACCUGACUAAGAAGCCCCGGCUAACUACGUGCCAGCAGCCGCGGUAAUACGUAGGGGGCAAGCGUUAUCCGGAUUUACUGGGUGUAAAGGGAGCGUAGACGGCAUGGCAAGUCAGAUGUGAAAACCCGGGGCUUAACCCCGGGAUUGCAUUUGAAACUGUCAGGCUGGAGUGCGGGAGAGGUAAGUGGAAUUCCUAGUGUAGCGGUGAAAUGCGUAGAUAUUAGGAGGAACACCAGUGGCGAAGGCGGCUUACUGGACCGUAACUGACGUUGAGGCUCGAAAGCGUGGGGAGCAAACAGG
rnacentral:rRNA from 1 species